CUGGGAAGAAUAAAGCGACCCUGCGAGGCGAGGCAUUGUUGGCCGAGGGGACAAAUGCUAAUUUCUCCUUCCCUCCACCGAACGCCCGAGCGAGAAAUGCAAAUACCUCUGGCAGAGGGCUGCAGAUAAAAGUCUGGGUGUCUGCAUGCGCGCACGCAGAUGGGUUUGAGUGCCGCGAUAAGCUGGCAAACAAGCUGGACCGUAUGGGCAGGCACGGGGCUGCCCUGCUGCGACGGGAUGCGCUCCUCAGGCCGUUCCCUCCCACCGGGGCGUCACGGAGGGCCGCGGCACGGAGCAUCCCGAGCCCCAUCCCUGCGUGGGAUGAGCCCAUGGAGCCACCGUUGCCUUUCCCACCCCUCGGCCGCCCGUGAGCGGAGCUGACCCGUCGGAUGGCGCGGUGCCGUUUGCUCUUAGGACACGGCGGUGAGUGAGGGCUUAACGAAGGGACGAACGACGAGUCCCGUUUUGUUUGCUUUCUGCUCGGAAACGGGCUGGAAGGGGGACGUGACGGACGGCGGGGCCUCGCCGGGAGAGCUGCUGCUCAGUCGCCGAUUAAAUACGGAGCAAACAACGGCACGAGGACGGGCACAAGGACAAACCCCAUCCCCUGAUACGGGGCGAAGGGACACGGCCGUCCUCCGGGUGCACUGAGCGUCCCCAUAAGGCUCAGUGCCUCCAUCCCUCGGCUGGGCUCUCACUGAGCCCCGGGUAGUGCCCUGCGGGCACCGCCUCCCGAUGGAGCCAUUCCCAAGAAGAGCGAUUCUCAAAAGGAGCCGUUCCUUCGGGGCCGCUGCUGGGGCUCACCCCAUUACCUGCUUCCUUCUGCUCCAGCGCCCGGCCUCCAGCAGCCGGGAUUACAAAAAUAAUGCCCCUUGAAAAAGAGGAGGAAAAAAAGCAGCCGUGCUGUGGGAACGGCCGGCUAAACCCCAAAGCCUCUUACCUGGCCACAUCUCAGCGCCUUUGUUGCUGCACCGGCCCCAAAUCCCUCCCGUGGCGUGGCAGAGCCCUUUGUAAUGAGAGCAGAGCGGCACAGCCGUGGCCCCGCAUGGGUGUGGGGUACACCUGUCCUUACAGUGUGGCUGAGCAUAGAAUCCUGGAAUGGCCUGGGUUGAAAAGGCCCACAGUGCUCAUUGAGUUCCAACCCCCUGCCAUGUGCAGGGUCACCAACCAGCAGCCCAGGCUGCCCAGAGCCACAUCCAGCCUGGCCUUGAAUGCCUGCAGGGAUGGGGCAUCCACAGCCUCCCUGGGCAACCUGUUCCUCAUACACCCGUCCUGGCACGAUGGUGCCUUCUGCCUGCCUACCUCAAGGGGUGUCUCUGUCUCAGCCCCCGACCCAUCUCUUCGUUAGCAGCUCCGUCAGCGCAUCACCCCCCACCCCCACCCCCCCACUUCAACCUCGUGGCCGCCUCUCCGGGCCCCGCUCGCUCCGCCGCCCACCGC
rnacentral:lncRNA from 1 species